rnacentral:rRNA from 1 species
UACGUAGGGUGCGAGCGUUAAUCGGAAUUACUGGGCGUAAAGUGUGCGCAGGCGGCCGCGCAAGUCGAGUGUGAAAGCCCCGGGCUUAACUUGGGAAUUGCGCUCGAAACUACGUGGCUGGAGUGUGGCAGAGGAAGGUGGAUUCCAGGUGUAGCGGUGAAAUGCGUAGAGAUCUGGAAGGAACACCGAUGGCGAAGGCAGGCCUUCUCGG